GCACUAACUGAGGGUGAAGGAUGUCGGUUGGGUCUGCUAGGAGGGGCCAGGAGCCGGCCGGCAGAGAGCGGCUCGUGGGUCCCAGGACCCCUGACGUCCCUAGGUUGUACUGGGAGCUUUUGCAAGAAGUGGAAUAUGUUGAAAUACGAAAAUACCUAGAUUUAACAUACCACCUAUCAUAAAGAGAUUCAGGCGCCUUUCUUCUACUUUCUUGGGUGCAAAGGCCUUUUCAUUCCCUUUACCAAUUGCAUAAUCACCCACUGCCUCAAGUAACAACAGAAAAACUUAAACUUGGUAAUAUCUUAGGCACAGCAAAAACUUCCUCAACAUUUUUUGCUCCAGACCUCAUAUCUCCCCUUGGCCUGUGUUACUGAAUAUUAGUGGAAG